rnacentral:rRNA from 1 species
GACGAACCGUGCGAAUGUUGUUCGGAAUCACUGGGCUUAAAGGGCGCGUAGGCGGGCUGUCAAGUCUGGGGUGAAAUGCCGCGGCUCAACCGUGGAACUGCCUUAGAUACUGACGGCCUCGAGGAAGGUAGGGGCAUGCGGAACUGUAGGUGGAGCGGUGAAAUGCGUUGAUAUCUACAGGAACUCCGGUGGCGAAAGCGGCGUGCUGGACCUUUUCUGACGCUGAGGCACGAAAGCUAGGGUAGCGAACGGG